ACACCCAACCGGUGCCCCGGUAGGUCACCAACAAGUUUGUGUUGGAUGUGGUUGUUCAUUAUUGCGAACUUGAAGUCAUUGUUUGGAUACAGAGAAUAAUCAAGAUAUAUUAAACAUUGUUCGAAAUUGGAUUCAACCCAGAGAGAUUCGUCCUUCAGAUCUUCUUUGCCAUAGAUACUAUCAGAGAGCACGAAUUACUACAGUUGGUGCUUAUUUAAUGAAGCUGAGGACCGGUGAUUCAGAUGACAGAAUAGCUACAUUACUUGGCAUUUCAAGGAGUACUCUUACAAAAUAUGUAAUGAAAGCACGCAGUAUGAUGGAGGAACAUUUCGUACCAGCACAUUUAGGGUUACAACAUAUUAGUAGAGAGGAAGUAGCCCAAAGAAACCUUUAUGUUCCAGUCUCUUUUCGGGAAGCCAGGAAACGAUUUACCACAAAGAAAGGCUAUUGUCAUCAUGGAUGGUACAUACAUACAUUUAUGUGCAAGAAAGUAGCAAUUAUGCAUACCAAAAAAAAAACUUAUUCCCUAUACAAAUAUCGGAAUCUCGUUAAACCAUUUAUGGUACUUUGUUGUGAUGGCGACAUCAUUGAUGUAUUGGGCCCAUAUUUAAUAGAAAAUGUAGAACAUGACCAUUAAUAAAUAAUAAGUACCUA